rnacentral:rRNA from 1 species
AUUGAACGCUAGCGGCAUGCUUAACACAUGCAAGUCGAACGAGUGGCGGACGGGUGAGUAAUAAAUCGGAAACUGCCUAGUAGCGGGGGAUAACUACUGGAAAGAGUGGCUAAUUCCGCAUACUAUUGGAGCUGCCCAUAUCGGCUUAGCUAGUUGGUGGGGUAAAGGCUCACCAAGGCAACGAUCCGUAGCUGGUUUGAGAGGAAUACCGGCCACACUGGAACUGAGACACGGCCCAGACUCCUACGGGAGUCAGCAGUGGGGAAUUGUGGACAAUGGGGGAAACCCUGAUCCAGCCAUCCCGCGUGUAUGAGAAGGCCUUCGGGUUGUAAAGUACUUUUCGCAGGGAAGCGGUAUCUGCAGAAUAAGCACCGGCUAACUACGUGCCAGCAGCCGCGGUAAUUC